CAGUCGCCGCGGUAAUACGGAGGGGGCUAGCGUUGUUCGGAAUCACUGGGCGUAAAGCGCACGUAGGCGGCUUUGCAAGUCAGAGGUGAAAGCCCGGGGCUAAACCCCGGAUGUGCCUUUGAGACUGUGAGGCUUGAUCGUCGGAGAGGUGAGUGGAAUUCCGAGUGUAGAGGUGAAAUUCGUAGAUAUUCGGAAGAACACCAGUGGCGAAGGCGGCCCACUGGACGACUGUUGACGCUGAGGUGCGAAAGCGUGGGGAGCAAACAGGAUUAGAUACCCGUGUAGUCCCUGUCUCUUAUAC
rnacentral:rRNA from 1 species